CACGAACGCUGGCGGCAGGCUUAACAUAUGCAAGUCGAGCGCCCCGCAAGGGGAGCGGCAGACGGGUGAGUAACGCGUAGGAAUCUACCCAUCUCUACGGAAUAACGCAUGGAAACGUGUGCUAAUACCGUAUACGUCCUUCGGGAGAAAGAUUUAUCGGAGAUGGAUGAGCCCGCGUUGGAUUAGCUAGUUGGUGGGGUAAAGGCCUACCAAGGCGACGAUCCAUAGCUGGUCUGAGAGGAUGAUCAGCCACACUGGGACUGAGACACGGCCCAGACUCCUACGGGAGGCAGCAGUGGGGAAUAUUGGACAAUGGGCGCAAGCCUGAUCCAGCCAUGCCGCGUGAGUGAUGAAGGCCCUAGGGUUGUAAAGCUCUUUCACCGGUGAAGAUAAUGACGGUAACCGGAGAAGAAGCCCCGGCUAACUUCGUGCCAGCCGCCGCCGUAAAAC
rnacentral:rRNA from 1 species